rnacentral:rRNA from 1 species
UGGAUCCAGACUUUGAUUAUGGCUCAGGAUGAACGCUAGCUACAGGCUUAACACAUGCAAGUCGAGGGGAAACGACAUCGAAAGCUUGCUUUUGAUGGGCGUCGACCGGCGCACGGGUGAGUGACGCGUAUCCAACCUGCCCAUCACUUGGGGAUAACCUUGCGAAAGUAAGACUAAUACCCAAUGACGUCUCUAGAGGACAUCUGAAAGAGAUUAAAGAUUUAUCGGUGAUGGAUGGGGAUGCGUCUGAUUAGCUUGUUGGCGGGGUAACGGCCCACCAAGGCUACGAUCAGUAGGGGUUCUGAGAGGAAGGUCCCCCACAUUGGAACUGAGACACGGUCCAAACUCCUACGGGAGGCAGCAGUGAGGAAUAUUGGUCAAUGGACGAGGGUCUGAACCAGCCAAGUAGCGUGCAGGAUGACGGCCCUAUGGGUUGUAAACUGCUUUUAUAAGGGAAUAAAGUGAGCCUCGUGAGGCUUUUUGCAUGUACCUUAUGAAUAAGGACCGGCUAAUUCCGUGCCAGCAGCCGCGGUAAUACGGAAGGUCCGGGCGUUAUCCGGAUUUAUUGGGUUUAAAGGGAGCGUAGGCCGGAGAUUAAGCGUGUUGUGAAAUGUAGAUGCUCAACAUCUGCACUGCAGCGCGAACUGGUUUCCUUGAGUACGCACAAAGUGGGCGGAAUUCGUGGUGUAGCGGUGAAAUGCUUAGAUAUCACGAAGAACUCCGAUUGCGAAGGCAGCUCACUGGAGCGCAACUGACGCUGAAGCUCGAAAGUGCGGGUAUCGAACAGGAUUAGAUACCCUGGUAGUCCGCACGGUAAACGAUGGAUGCCCGCUGUUGGUCUGAAUAGGUCAGCGGCCAAGCGAAAGCAUUAAGCAUCCCACCUGGGGAGUACGCCGGCAACGGUGCAACUCAAAUGAAUUGACGGA